UACGGAGGGUGCAAGCGUUAUCCGGAAUGAUUGGGCGUAAAGCGUCUGUAGGUGGCUUUUCAAGUCCGCCGUCAAAUCCCAGGGCUCAACCCUGGACAGGCGGUGGAAACUACAAAGCUGGAGUACGGUAGGGGCAGGGGGAAUUUCCGGUGUAGCGGUGAAAUGCGUAGAGAUCAGGAAGAACACCAACGGCGAAAGCACUCUGCUGGGCCGACUCUGACACUGAGAGACGAAAGCUAGGGGAGCAAACGGG
rnacentral:rRNA from 1 species